GUAGCACAGCAAAACUCUGCGAGUAAGUCACAAUAUUUAACUGUAUGAAGGCACUUUGUCGUGUCUGGUAAUCUUGCAAAUUGGCGGCUCUUGUUACCUAAGUUAUGACAUGUACUUGCAGCAAAAGCUGGAAAAACCAGGCACUUCAAGUAUAUUUAUCUGUUCCCAAAUUGUAUUUUGGAAUAUGAUAUUUGAGUCCAAAGGUCAUAAAUGACUAUCCUGUCUGAGUUUUUUAUUAGACCUGAAGCAGGCAUGUUAUGGCUGCUACACCAAAAUCCUCCUCACUCACUUGGCCUCAGUCCCUGAAGAUGUUUUUUCUUUCCUUUGUCAAUUCUAAAAAAAUUUCUGCAAUGUUAAAAUAUCAUAUCUUGCAGUAAUUAGUUUGUUUUCCAGUUACCCUGAAGUAUAGAUUGGAAUCUUCUGAGACUGGGGAAAAACAUAUACAGAAAAUGGCCUUGAAUAGCUAGUUUUGCUUUUGUCUUUAUGGAACAGUCAAAGAUUUUGUUGGUAGAUUGUUUUUCUACUUUAUCAGCAUGCACAAAGAAUACUUAUAAUUGUCACUUUUGUUACUUCUUCUAAUGUCAUCUCUAAGCAUCAUGACUUAUCUUUUGAUUUUUGCUUCCAUUUGAACUAACAAGGCUACAAGCACAAUUUGUGACUUUUUUUUUGGUUCUCGUGCCUUGUUAUUGUGAGUUUUUUACACCAAGUCUUAAUGUGCCUGACUUGUAAAUAAAGCUUAUACUGAACUAGUGCAAAAGUAAGAUCCUCCUUGAAGUUGUGGUUUUAUGUUGGACUAUUAGAACUCUACCAACACAGUAUAAUUAUCAGAAUGGACAAUGUUAUUCAUUUGUUGACUUAUUCUUUUUGCACAUUUGCUUCUUUCAGAGUACAUUAUUGCAUUGAGAACAUUUACCUGAUUUGCUGUGCAUAUCAUUAUCAGAAUCAUACAUGUAAUACUUUGGUUCUUAGCUGCU
rnacentral:misc_RNA from 1 species